rnacentral:tRNA from 1 species
CGGUAUGGGGUCCUAGCACUUGACUGGGGGUCAAGGGGUCGUGGGUUCAAAUCCCGCCGUCCCGA